UACGGAGGGGGCUAGCGUUGUUCGGAAUUACUGGGCGUAAAGCGCGCGUAGGCGGACUGUUAAGUCGGGGGUGAAAUCCCGGGGCUCAACCCCGGAACUGCCCCCGAUACUGGCAGCCUGGAGGUCGAGAGAGGUGAGUGGAAUGGCGAGUGUAGAGGUGAAAUUCGUAGAUAUUCGCCGGAACACCAGUGGCGAAGGCGGCUCACUGGCUCGAACCUGACGCUGAGGCGCGAAAGCGUGGGGAGCAAACAGG
rnacentral:misc_RNA from 1 species